AUCAUGAGUUCACAUGUCCGCAUGAUUAAAGGUAUUUUCCGGUAGACGAUGGGGAUGCGUUCCAUUAGAUAGUAGGCGGGGUAACGGCCCACCUAGUCAACGAUGGAUAGGGGUUCUGAGAGGAAGGUCCCCCACAUUGGAACUGAGACACGGUCCAAACUCCUACGGGAGGCAGCAGUGAGGAAUAUUGGUCAAUGGGCGAUGGCCUGAACCAGCCAAGUAGCGUGAAGGAUGACUGCCCUAUGGGUUGUAAACUUCUUUUAUAAAGGAAUAAAGUCGGGUAUGCAUACCCGUCUGCAUGUACUUUAUGAAUAAGGAUCGGCUAACUCCGUGCCAGCAGCCGCGGUAAUACGGAGGAUCCGAGCGUUAUCCGGAUUUAUUGGGUUUAAAGGGAGCGUAGAUGGAUGUUUAAGUCAGUUGUGAAAGUUUGCGGCUCAACCGUAAAAUUGCAGUUGAUACUGGAUGUCUUGAGUGCAGUUGGGGCAGGCGGAAUUCGUGGUGUAGCGGUGAAAUGCUUAGAUAUCACGAAGAACUCCGAUUG
rnacentral:rRNA from 1 species